rnacentral:lncRNA from 1 species
UUUUAACUUCUAGCCAUGGCGAACGAUCCCAGGGGAGCAUAGACUGAACCCCUCUAUGAACUCUCUUGGAGUGGAUCAGACUGAUGAUCACCAACAACCAGCUCAUUCCCGGAUAAGGAAGAAGAGAGUGUUACCCACUUCAGUGUGGUUUCAACCCCACUUCUACAUCUUAAAGACAUUUGUACAGCGUUGGACACUGUGCAGGAUGAUGCCACUUCAUCUUGGAUGCUAAUCUGCCAUGUUGACUUCUGAUUAACCCCAGGCCCAGGAAUGCCUCAAGAUUUCUACUUUAUGUACUGUUGCUUGUGUAAGCCAAGACAACCUUGAUGUUAUCAUAAACAUGUACUUACCUAAGUCCUGUCCUUUUGCAAAUUAUGGGCUAUGAGACACAGCGUUCUUACCUUUCCCUGAGGGGUCAAUUUCAGCGAUCCUACACAUUCCUUCUGAAGCACGUAUGCUCUUUCUAUACGGUAUGUAAGCUCUGGGUCUGGGGAGUAACAGUACAGAGAUCUACCUGUCUUGUUGCCACAUGUUUCUAAAUUUUCCAAUAAGUCACCUUCUACUGACAAA